UACGUAGGUGGCAAGCGUUGUCCGGAUUUACUGGGCGUAAAGGAUGCGUAGGCGGAUGUUUAAGUGAGAUGUGAAAUACCCGAGCUCAACUUGGGUGCUGCAUUUCAAAACUGGAUAUCUAGAGUGCAGGAGAGGAAAGCGGAAUUCCUAGUGUAGCGGUGAAAUGCGUAGAGAUUAGGAAGAACACCAGUGGCGAAGGCGGCUUUCUGGACUGUAACUGACGCUGAGGCAUGAAAGCGUGGGGAGCAAACAGG
rnacentral:rRNA from 1 species